UGUAUUUGAUCUUGAACCUCUGGUUGCCAUGACACCCAGCUAAAAAUGGUUUGCAUACUUUUCCCUGGGGACUGCCAACCACUAACAUAUUCCAAGGACAUUACACUGGCUUUUCAUUCUGUUUCCAGCAUAUUGAUGUGAGACUCCUUUUCAGAAACAUGAAGACCUUGCAGAUAGACUUCAGCAAACAUACUGGAUUUUGAAAAUGUUCUUUCAUGGAUGCUGCAGAGGAGCUCUCCAAGGGUGGAUCUUCACUGACCCACUACCCUGGGGCUGAUAUAGCAUGGCAUAUGCUGGAUUGGCCCUGGGAUGGGUCACAGAAUGCCGCUCCCCAGCUCUGCUGGACACCCACUCUUAGCGUCUCCUCCCAUUUUCUGUGUCACAAUGGUUUGGCCACUACGGAGCUGAUUCUGGCCUGAUCUAUGGGACUCAAGGCGGCUUACAGAAUCGGGCAAGCAUUCAAUGCCGAUGAAUGAAGAGUGUGGCAUCCCAUGCGGUGCCUCGUACCGGUGCUGGCAAGAUAUGGGUUGGGAUCUAGGGAGUCUGUUUCACAAGACCUCCUCCUGAAGGUGAGACCAUGAAGAGGCAGUGACUGGAAUUCUUGGAUGAACAUUGGUCCCUCCCAAAAGAAAUUUUCAUCACACAGGACCUGAUGUCUUUAGCUAGUAUUGUAGUAUCCUUAGCUUUAGCUCUAAAUUAACAAACCAGUGUGAAACCAGCAGGGUUUAGAAAUCAUGUUUAGUUCUCUAUACUUUUAAAUGCAUUCCAACAAUAGACAACAAUAUGCUAGUUCAGGUAAUAUUGAAGAGAUAAUUCCCUUAAAAGUCAAGGGUAGGAGGAAGGGAUGAUGUUGUUGGAUUUUUGGAUUAGGCCUCCAGGUUCAAAUCCUCAUUCUGCCAUGGGAAGCCUCUGAGGGCUCUUCUACACUGCCAUAUAAUCCAGAUUAUCUAAUCAGAUAAUCCAGUUUUUCUGCUUUGAACUGGAUGUGAGUCUACACUGCCACGAAAUCCAGUUCAAAGCACACAAUCUGGAUAUAUUAUGGCAGUGUAAAUGGAGCCUGAGAGAUCUUGGUAAAAUCACGCUCUUUCAGACCUAAGAAGACAACAAACUUACCCUAAACCUGAGACUCCAUAAUUUAUAAUGGAUUUAAAGGCAUAUAACAAUAACAACAGCAGCAAUAGCAAAGGUCGAAUAGGUAGCUUCUUAUCCUAGGCCCCUUCCACACCACCCCUAUAUCCCAGGAUCCGAUCCCAGAUUAUCUACUUAUCCCAGAUUAUCUGGCAGUGGGUGCUUGUAUAAUCCAGUUUAAAGCAGAUAAUCUGGGAUCAGAUUCUGGGGUUUAGGGAAGUGUAGAAGGGGUCAUAGUAAAAAAAAUGGAGUUUCACUUGAAGAAACACUAUGUCAGACAAG